GACGAACGCUGGCGGCGUGCUUAACACAUGCAAGUCGAACGGAAAGGCCCUGCUUGCAGGGUACUCGAGUGGCGAACGGGUGAGUAACACGUGGGUGAUCUGCCCUGCACUUCGGGAUAAGCCUGGGAAACUGGGUCUAAUACCGGAUAGGAGCCAUUUUUAGUGUGAUGGUUGGAAAGUUUUUUCGGUGUAGGAUGAGCUCGCGGCCUAUCAGCUUGUUGGUGGGGUAAUGGCCUACCAAGGCGGCGACGGGUAGCCGGCCUGGGGGGGUGGACGGCCACAUUGGGGCUGAGGUACGGCCCAGACUCCUACCGGGGGCAGCCGUGGGGAAUUUUGCCCAAUGGGCGCCAGCCUGAUGCAGCGACGCCGCGUGGGGGAUGACGGCCUUCGGGUUGUAAACUCCUUUCGCUAGGGACGAAGCUUUUUGUGACGGUACCUAGAUAAGAAGCACCGGCUAACUACGUG
rnacentral:rRNA from 1 species